GACAGAGGGUGCAAACGUUGUUCGGAUUUACUGGGCGUAAAGCGCGUGUAGGCGGCUUGGCAAGUCGGAUGUGAAAGCCCACGGCUCAACCGUGGAAGCGCAUCCGAAACUGCUUCGCUCGAGUCUCGGAGAGGAAGGUGGAAUGCUUGGUGUAGAGGUGAAAUUCGUAGAUAUCAAGCGGAACACCGGUGGCGAAGGCGGCCUUCUGGACAGUGACUGACGCUGAGACGCGAAAGCGUGGGGAGCAAACAGG
rnacentral:rRNA from 1 species